UAAUAAUUGGAUCAGUAUCAUCAGUUAUCAAAUCAAGCUUUUAGAUAUCAAUUAAAUAAUAAAUUUAAGCACCGGAUAAGGAAUUCAAAGUCUAUUCUAAGGAACAGAUAUUAAAAAAUAAUCAUGCCCCAGAACAAAAAUCAUUUGACAGAUUAAAUAUUUUUCAAUAUCAAUGUUGGGCAGGCUAAAAAAUUGAGAAUGAGCAAGCUGAUAUUUUCAAAAACCAUGGAUAGGCAGGCAGGUUUAACAAUAGGCAGAUAGAGCUGUGUUAAAAACCCACUCAUUGCAGAUCACUAUUACUCUACUUUUGUCACUAAUUAUAAUCUUAAUUCUUAUCCAGAAAUUUAUAUGGUCCAACUUACAAAAAAUGAGAAAGUAACAAUCAAAUUUUUUGGGUAAUUUUUUAUAAUAUAUCAUUGAGUCUAAAAAAAUUAUAAUUAUUGUAUAAAUUUUGGAAUUAAACAUAUUUAUUAAUAAUAAGCCAUAAAAUAAGAGUUUACAUUAUUAUUAUACAAGGGUUAUUAUA